AAGUCGUAACAAGGUUUCCGUAGGUGAACCUGCGGAAGGAUCAUUAACACGUAUCCACGUAUCUACCUCUCGUGAACUUAUUUAUACUUGUAGUUAGCUCAGAUAUGUCUAAGGAAGCAGAUGACCAUGUCGUUAGGUGGAAGGGGUUAAACCUUUUCAUCUCGUUCUGCUUGCCUAUCCACCUUUUGUUGAGUACUAGUGUAUCGAGGUUGUUCUCAUAGCAAUAUGAAGUCCAGCCCUGCUAGUCAUUUCACUCCUUAGGAUGGGUAUCUGAGAAGACUCGAAUCAUGGUGGUUUUUAAUCUAUUAACCCCUUUUUUUUUAAAUUGUCUUAGUGAGUAAGAGUCGAUAAUCCAGUAAAAUGGAUUUGAAGCUCUCCUCCCAAAAAAUUAACACUAUACAACUCUUAGCAACGGAUAUCUCGGUUCU
rnacentral:misc_RNA from 1 species